rnacentral:lncRNA from 1 species
GCCCAUUUAGUGACCUGGCUCAAAUACUCAUAUAAUGGGCCCAAAAGUAUUGGGCCCACUUAGGAUUGGGCCUGAAUAUUACGGGCUAUCUCUCGGACUUAGAGUAGUAGCAUAAGAUCAUAUUUUAGGUUCGAUGUAUUAUACUAGAGACCUAGGAUCUAGAGCUUUUUUAUAGGCUCGAUCUAAGUAAUCAUCAGAAAGGCCCGUAAAGAUCUCUAUGGCUUUCUUAAUAAAGGCCUUAAGGGCUAGCUAGUGCUUGUGUCUCAUAAUGGCCUGACAAUAUAUACAUAUUAUGAUAUGUAACUUAUAUGUUAUGGUGUGAAGGUGUUGUUACCUAUUUCGUCUCAUUCUGAGCGAAUUAGAAAACUCAGGAUCUCAGAAAACUCAUUUGGUUGGGGUAGAGGGUGUGCCGCCAUGCUUUCUUGGGCAAGGCCACGAUGUGUGCAUAGACAUGCUAUUGGUGUUAGGCUAGUUGGAAAGAUGUGCAUUGAAGGAAGCAUAGAGAGUAUCGCGGGUCCAGAUGCCUUAACCUUCAAUGAUUUUUACCACCAUCACACCACCAUUUGAAGAAGAUAAAACUGGAUAGAGGUGUAGCACUAAACUCUGGUAGAAGGGUAUAUCACUAGGCUACAAUAGGGGUAUAGCAUUGGGUCUAUAGUAGAAAUUCUAAGUAACAUAUAUUCCUAGGAUAAAAGAUUAAGAUCGAUAUAAAGAUAAAGAUAAAUUGAUUGGAUAGAUUUUCAAAAGAUCCAUUUAAGAGAGUAUAAUUCCAUUAUUUAUACUAAUACAUAAUAAUAAAUGCCUCAAACAUAAUAAUUUUCCAUUUCGAUGGUUACUUUUUACAUCUGGUGUCCACUCCUGAUGGUUUUGGUAAUUACUGGCAACCAUCUUCCCACUACACACGUAUAUAAGUAUGAUUAUUUUGUAACUACCAGACCGAUAGUUAUGUCAUAUCUAUCUUUAACUUAUCUUGACAUAGCUUAUGGUGGUUGUCUCCCCUCAUUCAGCCUGCAAUAUAUAAUUAUCUCGAUCCUUUAUCAGCCAUUUUUAAGACCAAAACUUUAUCUUGUAGCCUUCUCAUCUACAUUCUGGCCGAAUUAUAUUUGUUUGUCCUACGUCUCCACCCU